AUACGGAGGGUGCAAGCGUUGUUCGGAAUCACUGGGCGUAAAGGGCGCGCAGGCGGUUUGAUUAGUCAGAUGUGAAAGCCCACGGCUUAACCGUGGAAGUGCAUUUGAAACUGUCAGACUUGAGUAUCAGAGGGGAAAGUGGAAUUCCCGGUGUAGAGGUGAAAUUCGUAGAUAUCGGGAGGAAUACCGGUGGCGAAGGCGACUUUCUGGCUGAAUACUGACGCUGAGGCGCGAAAGCGUGGGGAGCAAACAGGAUUAGAAACCCCUGUAGUCC
rnacentral:rRNA from 1 species